UUAGUUCGAGUUUCCACCCUUUUCACACACCUCACUAACACUAAACACAGAUUGAUAGAUGUUAGUAGGCGUUGUGGGAAGGGCGGCGAUGACGAGCACA
rnacentral:pre_miRNA from 14 species